AUGGAGCCUGACGUGAUACGCAUGUACUCCUCCUCUCCGCCCCCGAUGGAGGAUGGCAUCGAGGAUGAGGAUGACGAUUUCAGCGACUUCACCGGCGUCCCGAACAGCACCAGCUUCUCGGAGUUCGACACGCCCACCACGUUCAACCAGUCUCAGGCUUUGAACGCCACUUCGCCGCCGGAGCUGCUGAGCAACGGAAGGAUCGUGGGACUGUCCGCUCAACCCGCAGGGUCUACGAAAGCUAACGGUGUGACGCCUGGCUCUGGCCAGACCGCCACGCCCAAUGGCAGAACGGUUAGUGUAGAGGAACUCAAAAAGUUCAGCGAGCACCAAGCUCACAUUGCAUCCCUGGAGUUCACACCGGGGUCUCGGACUGACAGUGACGCCAUUGACUGCAAUGGCACCGCAGAAGUGCUCACAAACGGGUUUGUGACAUUAGACCAAGACGGAAGCCCGCCUACACCACACAAAACCAACGAAUUUGAUGUCAGUCCAGAUGAUUUUGCAGAUUUCUCUGCCUUUUCAAAUGCUGAACACAACCAGCCUUCAGAGACAGACUGGGACGAUUCGAAUCAAGGGUGCAUACCGCCACAGAAUGAUGCUAGCGACAGUGUUGAAGAGCGAGGAACUAGUUUAGAAGACAAUAGCAGGGACUCGAGAAACACAGGGUUUGGAUUCUUUUUGGAAAACUCUGAAAGUCUCAGCAACGGUGACUGGGGUUUCUGUGAAGGGUCGGAUAUAGAUCGAAGGGAGCUAGAAGCUGAUGCUACUAAAGUUGUUAGCACGGUGCAACCGCUAGCCCUUAAUGGUGUCACGUUUAGCGAAACCGAUGAGAACACAGUGUCACCCGACUCUAUUGGGGAUAAGUCUAGUGGCAAAGAAUCAGAUGAGAAAGGCUCAGAGAAUGAGACUUUAGAAACGGAGACGGAAACUGAGACUUCUUUUGGUCGGCUGCUAUCGACAGAUGCGCUCGAAGAAUUUGGCGACUUUAGCACGACGGGAUCCGUACCCUCGCCUCCGCUUCAGGAGGAGACGGCCACUCCGGCCGACCACAGCCAGCUGGCCGAGGACGAUGAUGAGGAUUUUGGAGAUUUCGGUGACUUUGGAGACGCCAGCUCGUUUAGCGCAACUGGAUUUGCUGAUUUUGACCAGCAGGGGGUCUCUCAGCCUGAGCCGGACCCGAGUCCCCCGGUGGAGGUCGUAGAUGAUGAAUUUGGCGAUUUUGACACAUCAAAAGAACCUAGUAAAACAGACUUGGCAGGUGAGGAGGCAACGACGUUUGCGGAUUUUCCUGGAAGUGACAGUUUCGCAGAUUUUAGCUCUGCGCAGGUGGGCGAUAAUGAAGGAUGGCAGGCUUUCUCUGAGCCGGAUCAGAGCCAGAAUGAAGGGGAAUCGUGGGCAAUGUUUGGGCGGGAACAGAAUGCAGCGGCUACAGAAAAAAACAGAAAUGAUUGGCAGGAAAGCCAACCGGUUACAGCGCCACUGUUACACCUGGAUGUAAGUUAG
ensembl:lncRNA